AUCUUUGUAAAUAUCAUCAUUUUUUGACAAGCUGAAAGUUACAAUAAUGAAGCAUCAUGUAAACUGUGGUGGCACCUAGGUGCAUAUAUUUGUUGGAUGCAGAACUUAAUACCAUACGGGUCUUCUUAAUAGCAUGUAAAACUUCUGAGGAUGCACCACGCAAACAUCAUCUGAACUAGUAAAGAUAGCCAUUUAAAGCAUGGGAGAGGAAUGGAUAAGACUGAAACAAAUUUGAUGAUAAAACCUAUCCAGUAUGAUCCAAAUAACUUCAAUUAUUUAAGAAAUCAUGGAAAAUGAUCAGUUCUUACCCUGGUUAGGAUGAUCAAUAAAAUGAACGACUAGUUCAAGAUACAAAUAGAUAUAAACUCCUGUUACACACCAGGCUGAUUUUUCCUUUCAGCACCCAUACAAAAAUAAUCAAAUAAAUUACUUAAGAAAUCAUGAAAAAUGAUCAGUUCAAACCCUGGUUAGGAUGACCGAUAAAAUGAAUGACUAGUUCAAGAUAUAUAUAUAUAUAAACUCCUGUUGUAUGCCAGGUUGUUUUUCCUUUCAGCACCCGUACGAAAAUAAACAAAAGGCUGAUAGCUACAAAUUGACAACACAAGAAACCCAUGAUAAUGAAACAUCUUGACAAACUCUACAUGAAAGCCAUCUUAUAGUACACACUAAUCUUUAUAUGGAUAACCAGAUAAUAUAUCAUUCUUUAGAAUAUUGGAAAUGUAAGAUGGUAGCUUGCUAAGAUUUAAGAUUAAUGCCAAAUAUUGAGAGAUGACAGAUACAAAACACGAAAAAUCAAUCUGCCAUACUGCAGGAACAGGUUGCAUCAAUGCCAUCAUCAUAACUUCUAUUACACAGAAGACAGUACAGGUGACCAUUUCAUGUCCAGAACAUCAUAUACUUUUUCCUAAGUCGAAUAUAUAACGACAGACAUUUAAUAUAAGAAGAAUAACUUUCGUGUUCAAGGGGAAAAACUAGCAAUAUAUUUAACAUUUGCAGAUCAUUAAAACUAGGACAAGGCUGAAAAGACCUCAGCGGCACAAACAAUGAACUUUCCAUAUUAAAGAAAAUAAUAUAAAAACUAAUGUCAGCACUAUUGAUGUGAAAUUGAAGAUAGACAUCCCUUAUCCAUAUAAAGUGCAGAAAGGUCUCAUUCAAGAGUUAAUAAGAAUAAACAUUUAGGCAUGAUCUCAAUUAUCCAUUCGGCAUGAUAUGAGAGUCAAAACAACCCUUCUGGCAUGUCCGGCUUUCUGUGAUCCUCCACUUAUGCAACUGCUACUUCAAAACAGUACUGCCACUACUAGUGCAACCACCACACCUGUUACAAUGUCUUUGCAGGCACCCCUUCACUACCAAACAUAUUUCAACAAUUCAACCUAAUGAACUGGCAAGGAGAACUAUCUUUUUUCCUA
rnacentral:lncRNA from 1 species